rnacentral:rRNA from 1 species
CAGUCGACGAGUUCUCGUUGAUGAUCGGUGCUUGCACCGAGAUUCAACAUGGAACGAGUGGCGGACGGGUGAGUAACACGUGGGUAACCUGCCCUUAAGUGGGGGAUAACAUUUGGAAACAGAUGCUAAUACCGCAUAGAUCCAAGAACCGCAUGGUUCUUGGCUGAAAGAUGGCGUAAGCUAUCGCUUUUGGAUGGACCCGCGGCGUAUUAGCUAGUUGGUGAGGUAAUGGCUCACCAAGGCGAUGAUACGUAGCCGAACUGAGAGGUUGAUCGGCCACAUUGGGACUGAGACACGGCCCAAACUCCUACGGGAGGCAGCAGUAGGGAAUCUUCCACAAUGGACGCAAGUCUGAUGGAGCAACGCCGCGUGAGUGAAGAAGGCUUUCGGGUCGUAAAACUCUGUUGUUGGAGAAGAAUGGUCGGCAGAGUAACUGUUGCCGGCGUGACGGUAUCCAACCAGAAAGCCACGGCUAACUACGUGCCAGCAGCCGCGGUAAUACGUAGGUGGCAAGCGUUAUCCGGAUUUAUUGGGCGUAAAGCGAGCGCAGGCGGUUUUUUAAGUCUGAUGUGAAAGCCCUCGGCUUAACCGAGGAAGCGCAUCGGAAACUGGGAAACUUGAGUGCAGAAGAGGACAGUGGAACUCCAUGUGUAGCGGUGAAAUGCGUAGAUAUAUGGAAGAACACCAGUGGCGAAGGCGGCUGUCUGGUCUGUAACUGACGCUGAGGCUCGAAAGCAUGGGUAGCGAACAGGAUUAGAUACCCUGGUA